UCGUGUCACCAGUUCAAAUA
rnacentral:tRNA from 1 species